UUUGCAUAAUAUUUUCUAUCUCCCUCAAUCACUUUACAAUUGUCUUAUUUAUAGAAAUAAGAACAAUAAUACUACUAGGAUGUUACAAAACUCAAGAGUCAUACAUUUUAAUACUCAAUAAGAGUUACAUGUAUCUAGACAUUCAUAUGAAUCUAGACAUUUUAUAACAAUAAUAAUAUUAUUAUAUUAUGGUUAUAGUUUUUUUGGACUAUGACGAUAGAUAUUUUGAUCUAUGGCGACGGUUGUCGUCAUAGCCUAAAAAAACCGUCGUCAUAACACAGCUCUGUACUACACAACUGUGUAUACAUAUAUAACCCAAAAAUAAAAACUAAGUAAAUACAUAUAUAAAUAUAGGUUUAUAUAUCAUCUGUUUGCACUGCGUAGCACGAAUUAGAUCUAUCAACUAGCGGGGAAGAGGAAGAGGGGAAGCCAUGAAUUGGAUCUCUCUCUCUCUCUCUUAAUCGAUCACUCCACCGCCUCCUCAACCAACAAUCACCACCUUCACCGCUCCAUACACCAUCGCCGCCUUCCGUGGGGAGACAUGGGUGCUCUCAAACAUCUGGCCAUGACAAUCGCCUUACUGUUUCUUCUUUCUUUGUGUGGUUGAUGGCGGUUCUAAUUGAGGUGGGUUUUGGGAAAUUUUUGGGUUGAAGGGGAUUUGGAGGAGGGGAUUGUGAAGAGGUUGCUUCCAUUGUUUUUUUGUUUUUUGUUUUUUGUUUUAGCAAGAGGUUGCUUUCAUGGGUGACGAUGCUUGUUGAAGAGGGAAAGGAGGAAGAAGAGGAUAGGAUUGUGACGUGGGUUUUUAUUUUAUUUAAAAGAUAAUAAUUUUGGUCUCCAAUAUCUUCAUUUACUUAAUUUUCAAAUUCCAAUUAAAUAUAAUUAGUUACUUAUAAAUAUAUUCAUUUGUGGAAAUCUUUAUUUUAUUUCAAAAUAUAGGAUGGGGGAAGCUAGUUAUAUAUGAAUAAGAAGCAAAAUUCCAAUUCUCAUUAUAUAUGUACCUACUUUAGGAUUUGACUUUGUUUCUCUAAGCUUCCA
rnacentral:lncRNA from 1 species